UUCCCCUUCCCUCCUAUCACUGACGCGAGGGCGGUCUUCGCCACGCUGGGAUUGGGCGAGCCUGCCUGUCAAUCAAUUGCUGUGCUGGGCGAAGAGCUGGGGCUGCUUCGCGGAGAGGGAGUGAGAGAGACUGAAGCGCCCUGCCUGUCUCUGGGUUUUGAUGCUUUUGUGUCUCUGGCUGAUUAUUCUGGGGGCCUUCCUCCUCAGCGCUACAGGAGAGUCCAUAGCAAAACUGACUGCUUUCCGAGUUAAGCCCCGACUGCUCUGGGAGCUUCCUUCUGGUUUCUACACCUGAAGAAGGUCUUACCAGCGGAAAGUUGUUAGGGACGGGGAGCGAAAAUGAAAAGCAAACAAAAAGGCCUGAACGUGGAGUCCUGAGAGAAAAAUAAUUAUUCAUUUGGAUCCUAGUAGAGGAAUAUGGUUCACUUGCAGUCAAGCAUAAAUCACCUGUGGCCCCUUCCUGGCCUCAAGUUGAGAGGGCAAGUGGACCAAGAAAAUCUGGGCAGCAACUCCAUCUAUAUCCUGUAAUUAGGAUCUGAAGUCAAUAAUGAUUUUAAGGAAUGGGAAGGAGGAAUGGUCUUCAUGAUAGUUUAAAGGCCUCUUAUAUUUGGACCAAAUUGAUUGGCUUUUGAAAGUCGGACAUUUUGUCCCUUGUUGUGAGAUCCUGGAUUCUGAUUCUGUGAGUCUUAACUGGUCUCUCCAAUCUUUGUGCUCCAUUAUCUCUGGCACAUACUGUUAUGAAGUAAAUGUCUGUUGGAUGGAAUGGAAUGGAUUUGAAAACCGAGAAGUGGAAGACAUGGAAAAGAAUGAGGAAUGAUGUUAACUCCUGACAUCUCUAUAGAAUCUCAUAGACCCACAUAUCCACUUCUGCUCUCUUACAUCACUGUUGAAUCAAUGGGAUAGAUCUAUGACCAUCCCAGGAAAAGACACAAGAUAACAAUGUUGAAGUUUUCUCACUGAAUGUAAAUGAGGAAAGAGUUUUUGAUGGCCAGGGGAAGAUUGUGAAAGAAUAAAUACGAGAUACGUCAAGAGGAUUUAUGUCGAGAUACGUCAAGAGGAUUCAUGUUUCUCUCUUUGUUCCCUGUUCAAAUGUCAUCUAUGAGAGAAACUGGCUGAGAUGAGUAGUGAAAUAAAGUGUGUCUUCAUUCAUUUUUUGUGUUUAUUUAGGAUCAGUACACUGGUUUUGAAAAACUUUGAGGUAACCAUCCAAUUAGAGUUAAAGGAAAAAUGAAACCACAGGAAAUAUCAAGCACAGAUGCUUCCAAGCAUCUGGGAAGUACUCU